rnacentral:lncRNA from 1 species
GCUUGUUGAUUUUUACGGGUCUGGUACUACUAAUACCCAAAUAAAUUAACCAUGUACAGUAAUUUUUGUCAUUGUCAACAAAUUAAUGGAGAGAAUUUAAAGGAAUAGGUGGUUGCUCUGUAUUUCAGCUAUAUAAGUAGUUGGACAUUCAGGGUUGUAAUAUACGAGUCACAAAGUCGGAGCCGUGGAGGAGGAGGAGGCGGUGGAGGAAGAGGAGAGAGAAAUAACGAAUUUUGAUUUUCUGAGACUAGGGUUUGUGAAU